rnacentral:rRNA from 1 species
CCUAGGGGCGGCAGCAGUGGGGAAUAUUGGACAAUGGGCGAAAGCCUGAUCCAGCCAUGCCGCGUGUGUGAAGAAGGCCUUCGGGUUGUAAAGCACUUUCAGUGGGGAAGAAAGCCUUGGGGCUAAUACCCUCGAGGAAGGACAUCACCCACAGAAGAAGCACCGGCUAACUCCGUGCCAGCAGCCGCGGUAAUACGGAGGGUGCGAGCGUUAAUCGGAAUUACUGGGCGUAAAGCGCGCGUAGGCGGUCUGAUAAGCCGGUUGUGAAAGCCCCGGGCUCAACCUGGGAACGGCAUCCGGAACUGUCAGGCUAGAGUGCAGGAGAGGAAGGUAGAAUUCCCGGUGUAGCGGUGAAAUGCGUAGAGAUCGGGAGGAAUACCAGUGGCGAAGGCGGCCUUCUGGACUGACACUGACGCUGAGGUGCGAAAGCGUGGGUAGCAAACAGGAUUAGAUACCCCUGUAGUC